CCCCUAGACGUUCUGGGCUGCACGCGCGCUACAAUAAUACGCACAGCGAGUAUCACCGAGCUCGAAAGGGCAAGGUAAACAAUAGAAAAGGUACUGUAAUGGUUAUAGAUCCUUGUAAUUAUUGAUCUUCAACGAGGAAUUCCUAGUAAGUAUGUGUCAUCAUCACGCACUGAUUACGUCCCUGCCCUUUGUACACACCGCCCGUCGCUCCUACCGAUUGGGUGAGCCGAUGAAACUCUCGGAUGUAGGCUAUUCAUAGCCCGCAGAAGAGAUUGGAAUCGUAGCGCUUAGAGGAAGGAGAAGUCGUAACA
rnacentral:rRNA from 1 species